AACAUCGCGCACCUGCGGGAACCUGCGGAAGGAUCAUUACAGAGUUGCAAAACUCCCUAAACCAUUGUGAACGUUACCUAAACCGUUGCUUCGGCGGGCGGCCCGGGUCCUUCCCGGCGCCCAUCGGCCCUCGCGGGCGCCCGCCGGAGGUAAACCAAACUAUUGCAUUGUAUGGCCUCUCUGAGUCUUCUGUGCUGAAUAAGUCAAAACUUUUAACAAUGGAUCUCAGAUCGGAAGAGC
rnacentral:misc_RNA from 1 species